rnacentral:rRNA from 1 species
GACGUAGGGCGCGAGCGUUUGUCCGGAUUUAUUGGGCGUAAAGGGCUCGUAGGCGGUUUGUCGCGUCGGGAGUGAAAACAUCCAGCUUAACUGGGUGCUUGCUUUCGAUACGGGCAGACUAGAAGUAUGCAGGGGAGAACGGAAUUCCUGGUGUAGCGGUGAAAUGCGCAGAUAUCAGGAGGAACACCGGUGGCGAAGGCGGUUCUCUGGGCAUGAUCUGACGCUGAGGAGCGAAAGUGUGGGGAGCGAACAGG